CCUACGGGUGGCAGCAGUGAGGAAUAUUGGUCAAUGGACGAGAGUCUGAACCAGCCAAGUAGCGUGAAGGAUGACUGCCCUAUGGGUUGUAAACUUCUUUUAUAUGGGAAUAAAUUGUUCCACGUGUGGGAUUUUGUAUGUACCAUAUUAAUAAGGAUCCGCUAACAUCGUUCCAGCCGCCGCGGUAAUACGGAGGAUCCGAGCGUUAUCCGGAUUUAUUGGGUUUAAAGGGAGGGUAGGUUGAUUUUUAAGUCAGUUGGGAAAAUUUGCGGGUCAACCGUAAAAUUGCAGUUGAAACUGGCAGUCUUGAGUACAGUAGAGGUGGGCGGAAUUCGUGGUGUAGCGGUGAAAUGCUUAGAUAUCACGAAGAACUCCGAUUGCGAAGGCAGUUCACUGGACUGCAACUGACACGGAGGCUCGAAAGUGUGGGUAUCAAACAGGAUUAGAUACCCGUGUAGUC
rnacentral:rRNA from 1 species